rnacentral:rRNA from 1 species
GUGGGGAAUAUUGCACAAUGGGCGCAAGCCUGAUGCAGCCAUGCCGCGUGUGUGAAGAAGGCCUUAGGGUUGUAAAGCACUUUCAGCGAGGAGGAAGGCGUUGCAGUUAAUAGCUGCAGCGAUUGACGUUACUCGCAGAAGAAGCACCGGCUAACUCCGUGCCAGCAGCCGCGGUAAUACGGAGGGUGCAAGCGUUAAUCGGAAUUACUGGGCGUAAAGCGCACGCAGGCGGUUUGUUAAGUCAGAUGUGAAAUCCCCGAGCUUAACUUGGGAACUGCAUUUGAAACUGGCAAGCUAGAGUCUUGUAGAGGGGGGUAGAAUUCCAGGUGUAGCGGUGAAAUGCGUAGAGAUCUGGAGGAAUACCGGUGGCGAAGGCGGCCCCCUGGACAAAGACUGACGCUCAGGUGCGAAAGCGUGGGGAGCAAACAGG